GGACCCUAAGAAAAGAAAGAUUUCAUCAUUUGGGAAAGAAAAGUUGGGAAAAGAGAAGAGAAAAGAAAUUAAAAGAUUGUGAUUCCUGUGUCACUGUUUCUAGAGUCGAUGUACCAUUGCCUGUUGUGCAUUUUGAAGAAUUGGUUAAUAGGACUAAAAGCAAAUCAUUGUACACUUUUUCUAGCUACAAAAACUGUUGCAGAACAAGUUAUGUGUGUACUACUAUGAAGCUGUAGUUUACAGCAAUGGAGCAUAUAUACCGGUUAAGGAAAGGGAAAACACUCACCAUCUCAGUCUAUUUGUGCUUUAUAAAGUAAGAGUCUCCUUUUUUAUUGCAAAACAAACUUUCUCUCUUCAGUUAACUUUUCCAUUAUGAGAAAUGGAGGCCUUGUCACUAUUUUCAUGUAUGUUUACUAGAGGGACAGAGCAGUUUUCUGAAAAGUUUGUAAAUGUGUGACUAUAAUUACACUCACAGUUUACAUGUAUUAUCAUGCCAUCCUUCUUGUUGUUAUAUUCUUCAGGUGGUAUCGUUUGCCGGAUACAUUUGGUAGCUCAUACUAUAAGGAUACUUUGUCCUAGUGGGUGUGGAAGUGAAAUUAGUUUUGAGGGUUCUAUAUGCUUUAUUUAGUGUAACAACUCAAGAUCUUUGAAUAUACUCAACCUAGACAUAGUAAGGAAGUGCCUCUGUGAACGAUGGAGCAAGGGAAUAACUUCAUUGGAAUGUAUAAUUGUUAGACUUGAUCACAG